rnacentral:rRNA from 1 species
UGAGUAACACGUAUCCAACCUGCCGUCUACUCUUGGACAGCCUUCUGAAAGGAAGAUUAAUACAAGAUGGCAUCAUGAGUUCACAUGUUCACAUGAUUAAAGGUAUUCCGGUAGACGAUGGGGAUGCGUUCCAUUAGAUAGUAGGCGGAGUAACGGCCCACCUAGUCUUCGAUGGAUAGGGGUUCUGAGAGGAAGGUCCCCCACAUUGGAACUGAGACACGGUCCAA